GGAGCAACUCCAUGAAGAACCGCAACGAUUCUGGAAUUCUCACUGUAACUAAUCUUCCGUUUCCAUUGAAGUGGUCUUAUGGUUUCGUUCUCCUUCUCAUCAAGUUAAGUUUUCUGCCAAGUAUCUAAACUUCUAGUUGUAACUGUUGUAGAAUUGAGAAUUCCUUUAUUGUUCCAAUUAUUUCUCUUGGUAUUUAUCAAAUAUAUUGGUUUUCUUCUUAGAAUUACAUAUUUGCUUAUAUAAUUACAUCCAUCUUUUUAGAGCAUUAUGAUUAAUGUGUAGCAGUCGCUUAUUUUUUUCCUCUGACUUAUUGUGCACCUUUUUUGAUGAUAUAACUAUGGAAAGAGUUAAUGGUAUUAUUUGAUUAAUAUUUUUAGUUAAUUAAACUUAAUAAUUGGGGUUUACCAAAGAUGUUUUUGCUCGCAGUUUCACUAAUAAUUUCACUGUAUUUAUCCCUUAAAGGGGACAAAUCGUUAUGAGUUUGGGGAUACUAACACCUUCCUAAUAUGUAGAGGUUCAUAUUGUUAGUAAAGACGCUACUCAGUAUAAUAUAAAUUUGCUUAAAUAACUGUGACUUUUAAGGUGUGUCUCUUGAUACUUAAUGUUAUUAGCAAGGUGGCUAUUAUGUGCCCAAUAAAUAUUUGUCGAUAGAAGAGGUAUCUGAAAGGAGAGGUAUGUGAUCCCUACUUGGUAAAAGAUGAAAGGAUUCUUAGAUAGAAAAGGAGAAUUUACGAUCCAACUUUAAUUGCGAAAUUUGAUCUCUUGUUUUUAAUGCCAAAAAGUCCCUUCCCUUUGCCAAAUCCCCAAUUGCAGGUAAUCGAUUAAGAUGUUUUGCUGGUCUCGUCAGCAAGUUGCAUUCUGGAAAGUCAUAGCACCUUCGCUAGGUAAUCGGUCAACCUUGAUGUAAAGGAAAAUCCUUUGAUUGAUAAAGUAUGAACCAUAAAUAUAGUCCAGCUCAGUUUAUGUACAAGUAUGUGAGUGUUAAUGUGGUUUAUCUUCCGUGAUUGAACUCCUAAUUGUUUUUCAUCUGUGCUCGCCAUUUAUUUUUGACACUAGAAUUGUGGUUCAGAUGAUCCACGAAAAUGUAAAAAUGUUUAAUCCCCACAACUGCACCACCUUUAUUUCUAUUAAUAUCAGAGUUGUCUACGUCAAUUUAUAAUCUAAUGGUGGAACCAUACGUUUUUAUUUUGAAGAGUUUUCUUUAAGUUUUUGGAUAACAAUGGUUUGGUGCAUUUUCUCUUCAAUUAGACAAUACUCAAGUUUGCUAUUCCCUUAUCGUGGUAAAAUAAGGCAUUUUCAAUUUUCACUAUAUAUGCAGUACACUAAGAUAUCAUCAUUUGUUAACAUAGAAAUGCUUAUACGUGGAAAAUGUUAACUUUGAUUGGGCGCCGACACGUUUUAUCAGUUGGUGGCAACAUUCAGAAAAUCUUGCCACCUACGAGCAGCAGGAUUCUCUUAAAGGUCUGCAUUUCAAUGUUGGACAGGAUUCAUGACAGAGGGGAGAUCAAGUUUGUCAACCAAAGUCGCUCUCACCUUAUGACUCAGAGUCCCACGUUGUUGACAUUGAUAAUUUUGACGAUGAACUUGAGGAAGCUAACACCACUCCUGUGAGUUACUUCUUCACAAAGUCUUUAUGCUCUUGGAUAUAUACUUUCUGAUUGUAUAUCAUGUUAAUUCUCUAUUUUUUCAAUGACAUUUAGUUGAAUUAAAAGCUAACAAUGAACAUCAAGAAAUUUUAGUGGAGUUUUUUUGCUUUGCGUUUACCGUGAAUUUCUUAGUAUUCAACUUCUGGAUUCCAUCUUCUUGAUCUCCGAAAUAUCUUGUUAGUUGGCUUAGAUUUGAGUUUAGAGGGACAGUUAUUUAAUUAUUUAUUUAUUCUUUCUGCAGUUUUGGAGAGGGGGUUUGGCAUAUACAAGGUAUUCAAUUAUGUGAAGAAUAUGUAACUAAAUGACAAUGGUACUAGUCUCCCACAUAACCUAUCAAGAUCUUAUAAGCACACCCUCUAUGUGUUCUUGGAGUUUGCGCUACUAUUUGUGAUUGGACUAAUGUAUGCAUAUUUGACUGUCAAUUACCUUUAUGGUUCCUAUCUACACUGGCGGAGCCACAUAUAGUUGAGCUUUGUCGGAAAAUUACACUGUGUAGAUAGGUAAAAAAAAUUAUUUUUAUGUAUAUAUAUUACAUAUUGACACUUCUUGGCUUCUUCGUGAAUUUACUUCUUUAUAUUUUGACACCCCUUAGUGAAAAUUCUGACUCCGCCACUGCCUAUCUACAUAGAAUUUACCCGUAAGUUCUUUGAUCAUUGCUUUUGGUAAUACUAUGUUUUUAGUUUCAUUUACUCACAUAGCUGCAUAUGUUCUUGUUUUGAUAAAAGGGAGAAGCAUGGAAGAUGCAGUUACUGGGUGUAGCUUGUUUGUCACUUGCCUGCUAAAAUGGAGGCGAUUGAAGUUAGUGUAAAGCUACAGGCAAAUGCAUGUUCAUCUUGCUCGUUCUUUUUAGGGGCUGUUUGAAGUUCAAAUUUGUAAAUGCUACAGUGGAGUUAGGAGCCGAAGAAAUAAUUUCACAUAAUCGGAAGAUAUAUGUUUUUUAGCAUUGGGAUACUUUAUUUCUUUUGUAAUUAACUAUGAAAUUCUAUAUAAUAAUUGAUUAUUUUGUUUA